UACGAAGGGGGCUAGCGUUGCUCGGAAUCACUGGGCGUAAAGCGCACGUAGGCGGAUUGCUAAGUCAGGGGUGAAAUCCUGGAGCUCAACUCCAGAACUGCCUUUGAUACUGGUGAUCUUGAGCCCGGGAGAGGUGAGUGGAACUGCGAGUGUAAAGGUGAAAUUCGUAGAUAUUCGCAAGAACACCAGUGGCGAAGGCGGCUCACUGGCCCGGUACUGACGCUGAGGUGCGAAAGCGUGGGGAGCAAACAGG
rnacentral:rRNA from 1 species